rnacentral:rRNA from 1 species
AUUGAACGCUGGCGGCAGGCCUAACACAUGCAAGUCGAGCGGAUGAAGGGAGCUUGCUCCUGGAUUCAGCGGCGGACGGGUGAGUAAUGCCUAGGAAUCUGCCUGGUAGUGGGGGAUAACGUCCGGAAACGGGCGCUAAUACCGCAUACGUCCUGAGGGAGAAAGUGGGGGAUCUUCGGACCUCACGCUAUCAGAUGAGCCUAGGUCGGAUUAGCUAGUUGGUGGGGUAAAGGCCUACCAAGGCGACGAUCCGUAACUGGCCUGAGAGGAUGAUCAGUCACACUGGAACUGAGACACGGUCCAGACUCCUACGGGAGGCAGCAGUGGGGAAUAUUGGACAAUGGGCGAAAGCCUGAUCCAGCCAUGCCGCGUGUGUGAAGAAGGUCUUCGGAUUGUAAAGCACUUUAAGUGGGGAGGAAGGGCAGUAAGUUAAUACCUUGCUGUUUUGACGUUACCAACAGAAUAAGCACCGGCUAACUUCGUG